AUACGUAGGUGGCAAGCGUUGUCCGGAAUUAUUGGGCGUAAAGCGCGCGCAGGCGGUCCUUUAAGUCUGAUGUGAAAGCCCACGGCUCAACCGUGGAGGGUCAUUGGAAACUGGAGGACUUGAGGGCAGAAGAGGAAAGUGGAAUUCCAAGUGUAGCGGUGAAAUGCGUAGAGAUUUGGAGGAACACCAGUGGCGAAGGCGACUUUCUGGUCUGUAACUGACGCUGAGGCGCGAAAGCGUGGGGAGCAAACAGGAUUAGAUACCCUGGUAGUCCACGCCGUAAACGAUGAGUGCUAAGUGUUAGGGGGUUUCCGCCCCUUAGUGCUGCAGCUAACGCAUUAAGCACUCCGCCUGGGGAGUACGGUCGCAAGACUGAAACUCAAAGGAAUUGACGGGG
rnacentral:rRNA from 1 species